GUCCAUUCUGAGAGGCAGCUUCCCUGGGGGUCUCCAUCUCUGAUCCUCAGGCCGUGACUUGGGGUACCCCCCAUCCUGGGACAGUGGGACCUGUACUCCUCUGAUCUCUCAACCACGGGAGCCACGAAGCGGGGAGGAGGAUCCUUGUGGUCCAGGGAGGAGCCUCUGGCUGAGCAGUUCUGUCCAGGCUGCAGGGUCGUCACUAGACGUGCCUGUCUGGCUACGGAAGGCGUUUCCAGGCCUUUCGUCUGCCUUCACCUAGGUGGAGCCGUGUGAUGAGUUCCUGUCAAAGGCACAGAGGCAAAAUGAUGGCUCACUUCCAAGACAAGAAGUGAAGUUAUAAAGCCGGUGUGACUUCUCCCUGCUUUCCUCCCCACCUGCCAAGGGGAAGUUGGAAAAUUGAUAGGAAGCUGGGACCCUAAAUCACCAGAUGGGAAAUUCUACUUGCCUGCCAGUCAGGAACACCCACUGCCGUGGGCUGAAUGUCUAUGCUCCCACCCCACCCCAGUUCCUAUGUUGAAACGCCCAUCACCAAUGUGAUAGUAUUUGAAGAUGGGGCCUUUGGGAGUUAACUAAGUCAUGAGAGUGGGGCCCUCAUAAAUGGGAUUAGUGCCCUUAUUAGAACAGAUGUAACAGAGGACGUCACUCUGUCAUAUGAGCACACAGUGAGAAGACAGCUGUCUAUGAACCAGGAAGCAGGUUCUCAGCAGGCGCCAAAUCUACCAGCGCUAGAUCUUUGGACUUCCACGAACUAGCUUCUAGCACGAAGAGAUAAAUGUUUGUUGUUUAAGCUGCCAAUCUAUGGUAUUUUGUUAUAGCAGCCUGAUCUAAGAUACUCACUUUUUGAUAAGGAGAGAUGUAUUCUGAUACAUUUGAGGCUUAUUUGUUACAACGGCUAAUAUUAGUCUAAUGUGGAGGAGAUGGGGUUAGGGAAGGUUUCACAGAGAAGUUAAAGCUCAAGCAAGGUUUGAAGGGUGAGUAGAAACUGCAGGAGUGGAAUCAGGGUGGGAAGAAAUGGAGGGCAGAUUUCAGCUCAAUAUAGGAAAGAAUUACAGAGUAGUAAAAUCUCCAUGAAGC
rnacentral:lncRNA from 1 species